AGUGAACGCUGGCGGUAGGCCUAACACAUGCAAGUCGAACGGCAGCACAGUAAGAGCUUGCUCUUACGGGUGGCGAGUGGCGGACGGGUGAGGUAUACAUCGGAAUCUACUUUUUCGGGGGGGAUAACGUAGGGAAACUUACGCUAAUACCGCAUACGACCUACGGGUGAAAGCAGGGGAUCUUCGGACCUUGCGCGAUUGAAUGAGCCGCUGUCGGAUUAGCUAGUUGGCGGGGUACAGGCCCACCAAGGCGACGAUCCGUAGCUGGUCUGAGGGGAGGAUCGGCGACACUGGAGCUGGGACACGGUCCAGGCUCCUACGGGAGGCAGCAGUGGGGUAUAUGAGACAAUGGGCGCAAGCCUGAUCCAGCCAGACCGCGUGGGUGAAGAAGGCCUUGGGGUUGGAAAGCCGUUUUGUUGGGAAAGAAAAGCAGCAGGUUAAUACCCCGCGGUUGUGACGGUACCCAAAGAAUAAGCACCGGCUAACUUCGUG
rnacentral:rRNA from 1 species